UACAGAGGUCUCAAGCGUUGUUCGGAUUCAUUGGGCGUAAAGGGUGCGUAGGCGGCGCGGUAAGUCGGGUGUGAAAUCUUGGAGCUUAACUCCGAAACUGCAUUCGAUACUGCCGUGCUUGAGGACUGGAGAGGAGACUGGAAUUUACGGUGUAGCGGUGAAAUGCGUAGAUAUCGUAAGGAAGACCAGUGGCGAAGGCGGGUCUCUGGACAGUUCCUGACGC
rnacentral:rRNA from 1 species